GAAAAUUCAAAACGUUUGAGAAAGAGCUAAAACACAAAAAAUCCAAUGGGUCAUUACUGGAGUAGAGAUCUCAUUCAUUGGUGCCUACCGUGACUUAUUGGUCUAGCUCUACGACGGUAGAAGAAAAUGCCGCCGAUGUAGGACGUUGAUAAAGUUACACUCAUCCCAUGACUGCAGAAGAAGAAGAGAUCCAGGUCUUCUAUUAAAUGGCAUCACCCCACGGCUUUCACGUGACACGAGUCUUCACAAAUUGCUGGAUUCGAUUGACGAAAAGGACAACUACGCAAGCGGACCUUAGGCGAUUUGAAAAUGAUGUAUCCCGACUGCUAAUUCAACAGACGCAUAUGUUAGAAGAGGAUUUGCAGAUUGAUUAUCCGUACAACUAGAACUCGACCGAAAAAAACUGGCCGACUUUGACGAGUCUUUUAUACGCUCACGUGUCCACUGAAGAAGUCGAUCGUUUUAUCUGUGAUCACGUGAGCAAAAGGGAGUGCUAUUGGAGAAGAUUUUGCACUUGAUGACUUCAUCCCCGAAUUUGUUUUAGAUGAUGUGGAAUCGGGUAAUUCUCGGGUGGUCCUUGAGCGAAAAUCGAUAGUUUGGCAGCCAUCGUCGCUUCCGCCCCAAUAACAAGAACUCAUCCUUGCCGAUUUGUUUGAAUUACAGGAGAAAAAACCGAAGAUUGGCCCAGGCUUGGUCUGUUCUCAUUUUUGCCAUUACACGUCUUCUCUCGUAAUACCGAGUCACUUAUCUGUUAUCAGAAACAAAGUGCGAAAUUAUUCACAUUCAUACUCACAUUUCCUAAACUGAAAUUAGAAACAAAACAAACAGUUAGUCAGGUUAGUACUGGAACUAUCCUUUGUAGUACUUACUUUUACCUUCGAAUUUUAACGACACUCGCAUCUGCGAUUCUGCGCUAAUAAUACCCAUUUACAAGAAGCGGAUUAAAGGGCUUUUUCCCGUUCGGAGCACAAUAGUUUUUGAUCAACUUUCCCUGAAUAAAAUUUUAAUUUGCCCCGGUGGCCAU